rnacentral:rRNA from 1 species
CCUACGGGUGGCAGCAGUGGGGAAUAUUGGGCAAUGGGCGCAAGCCUGACCCAGCAACGCCGCGUGAAGGAAGAAGGCUUUCGGGUUGUAAACUUCUUUUGUCAGGGAAGAGUAGUAGACGUUACCUGACGAAUAAGCCACGGCUAACUACUUGCCAGCAGCCGCGUUAAUACGGAGGUGGCAGGCGUUGUCCGGAUUUACUGGGUGUAAAGGGCGUGUAGCCGGGUUGACAAGGCAGAUGUGAAAUCCUGCGGCUUAACCGCAGAACUGCGGUUGAAACUGUUGAUCUUGAGUACUGGAGAGGCAGACGGAAUUCCUAGUGUAGCGGUGAAAUGCGUAGAUAUUAGGAGGAACACCAGUGGCGAAGGCGGUCUGCUGGACAGCAACUGACGGUGAGGCGCGAAAGCGUGGGGAGCAAACAGGAUUAGAUACCCUUGUAGUC